rnacentral:rRNA from 1 species
GAUGAACGCUGGCGGCGUGCUUAACACAUGCAAGUCGAGCGAAGCACUUGAGUUUGAUUCUUCGGAUGAAGACUUUUGUGACUGAGCGGCGGACGGGUGAGUAACGCGUGGGUAACCUGCCUCAUACAGGGGGAUAACAGUUAGAAAUGACUGCUAAUACCGCAUAAGACCACGGUACCGCAUGGUACAGUGGUAAAAACUCCGGUGGUAUGAGAUAGACCCGCGUCUGAUUAGGUAGUUGGUGGGGUAACGGCCUACCAAGCCGACGAUCAGUAGCCGACCUGAGAGGGUGACCGGCCACAUUGGGACUGAGACACGGCCCAGACUCCUACGGGAGGCAGCAGUGGGGAAUAUUGCACAAUGGAGGAAACUCUGAUGCAGCGACGCCGCGUGAGGGAUGAAGUAUUUCGGUAUGUAAACUUCUAUCAGCAGGGAAGAAAAUGACGGUACCUGACUAAGAAGCCCCGGCUAACUACGUGCCAGCAGCCGCGGUAAUACGUAGGGGGCAAGCGUUAUCCGGAUUUACUGGGUGUAAAGGGAGCGUAGACGGCACGGCAAGCCAGAUGUGAAAGCCCGGGGCUCAACCCCGGGACUGCAUUUGGAACUGCUGAGCUAGAGUGUCGGAGAGGCAAGUGGAAUUCCUAGUGUAGCGGUGAAAUGCGUAGAUAUUAGGAGGAACACCAGUGGCGAAGGCGGCUUGCUGGACGAUGACUGACGUUGAGGCUCGAAAGCGUGGGGAGCACCC